CAAAUUGUUACAUCUUUAAGAGAGUUAUAAUGCAGGCGGACAGAUAGCCGUACAGGUAAUAGGUAAUCUGUGCACGCAUUUUAAUCUCUCAAACGAUUAUGUCUACUUGUUUGAUUGACAGGCUUGUUUGAACAAACUGAUCUGAAUUAAUAUGGUUGAUUGAUUAUAUGUGGGUAUAAUUCGCGUGAAAAUGAGGAAAUGAGGUUACACGAAAAAAUAACCAGGAUACAAUUUAGAAGCGACAGUAUGACCAGUGCGAUCUCUUCUCUUAGUUCGAGGUUGCAGUCUUGAGAAAAGAACAUGUCAACACUAUAUUCAAAUUGUAUUUGCCAUUCUUCUACGUUCUAUUAGUAUACUGCAGUUAUAUAGACAGAAAAGAACGUGAAUUACCAUAAGUCAUGAAAAAUGAAGAAUAGAUCUAUAUGUCUACUUGAAUUCUUAUUGAUAAAAUGGUG
rnacentral:lncRNA from 1 species